GGAGCAGAGCUCUUGUGUCCGUCUCCACCAUGGCACACACUCCUCUCCUCCUCCUCCACCUCUUCCUCGCACUCUGCACAGAUUUUGUGAGUUCUGUGCCCACUCAGCCGGCAUCGGCGUCGGUGGCUCUAGGACAAACAGCCACCAUCACCUGCUCCGGUGUUAGCAGUACCUAUGGUGCAAACUGGUACCAGCAGAAACCUGGCCAAGUCCCUGGACUGGUAAUAUACGGUACCUCCAGUGGUAGCAACCGACCCUCCGGGAUCCCCGACCGGUUCUCCGGCUCCAAAUCCGGGAGUACGGCCACGCUGACCAUCGCCAGGGCCCAGGCCGAGGACGAGGCCGAUUAUUACUGUCAGAAUGUUGACAGUAGUAAUUCUCACAGUGAUACAGGGUGA